GGCACCCUGAUCCAGCCAUGCCGCGUGUGUGAAGAAGGCCUUUUGGUUGUAAAGCACUUUAAGCAGUGAAGAAGACUCCAUGGUUAAUACCCAUGGACGAUGACAUUAGCUGCAGAAUAAGCACCGGCUAACUCUGUGCCAGCAGCCGCGGUAAUACAGAGGGUGCAAGCGUUAAUCGGAAUUACUGGGCGUAAAGCGAGCGUAGGUGGCUUGAUAAGUCAGAUGUGAAAGCCCCGGGCUUAACCUGGGAACGGCAUCUGAUACUGUUAGGCUAGAGUAGGUGAGAGGAAGGUAGAAUUCCAGGUGUAGCGGUGAAAUGCGUAGAGAUCUGGAGGAAUACCGAUGGCGAAGGCAGCCUUCUGGCAUCAUACUGACACUGAGGUUCGAAAGCGUGGGUAGCAAACAGGAUUAGAUACCCUGGUAGUCCACGCCGUAAACGAUGUCUACUAGUCGUUGGGUCCCUUGAGGACUUAGUGACGCAGCUAACGCAAUAAGUAGACCGCCUGGGGAGUACGGCCGCAAGGUUAAAACUCAAAUGAAUUGACGGGGGCCCGCACAAGCGGUGGAGCAUGUGGUUUAAUUCGAUGCAACGCGAAGAACCUUACCUGGUCUUGACAUAUCUAGAAUCCUGCAGAGAUGCGGGAGUGCCUUCGGGAAUUAGAAUACAGGUGCUGCAUGGCUGUCGUCAGCUCGUGUCGUGAGAUGUUGGGUUAAGUCCCGCAACGAGCGCAACCCUUGUCCUUAGUUACCAGCGGUUUGGCCGGGAACUCUAAGGAUACUGCCAGUGACAAACUGGAGGAAGGCGGGGACGACGUCAAGUCAUCAUGGCCCUUACGACCAGGGCUACACACGUGCUACAAUGGUAGGUACAGAGGGCAGCUACACAGCGAUGUGAUGCGAAUCUCAAAAAGCCUAUCGUAGUCCAGAUUGGAGUCUGCAACUCGACUCCAUGAAGUAGGAAUCGCUAGUAAUCGCGGAUCAGAAUGCCGCGGUGAAUACGUUCCCGGGCCUUGUACACACCGCCCGUCACACCAUGGGAGUUGAUUGCACCAGAAGUGGUUAGCCUAACCUUUUAGGAAGGCGAUCACCACGG
rnacentral:rRNA from 1 species